GAUGAAUAACGCAGCGAAAUGCGAUACUUGGUGUGAAUUGCAGAAUCCCGUGAACCAUCGAGUCUUUGAACGCAAGUUGCGCCCGAAGCCAUUAGGCCGAGGGCACGCCUGCCUGGGUGUCACACGUCGUUGCCCCCCCAUCUACUCCUUCGGGAUUGCGGGGGGCGGAUGAUGGCCUCCCGUGCGCCUCGUCGCGCGGUUGGCAUAAAUGCCAAGUCCUCGGCGACGCACGCCACGACAAUCGGUGGUUGCGAAACCUCGGUUGCCCGUCGUGUGCGGUCGUCGCGCAUCGAGGGCUCGAAAAAAUUGCCGGGCUCCGGCUCGGCUUUCAACGCGACCCCAGGUCAGGCGGGGUUACCCGCUGAAUUUAAGCAUAUCAAUAAGCGGAGGA
rnacentral:misc_RNA from 1 species